UAGAUUAUAGUUAAAAUAUAACAUUUAAAUUGCAAUUAAAAAUUAUUAAAUAAAUUUAUCUUUGAAUAAAUCUAA
rnacentral:tRNA from 1 species